AUACGGAGGACGCGAGCGUUAUCCGGAUUCAUUGGGUUUAAAGGGUGCGCAGGCGGCCGUGCAAGUCAGCGGUGAAAGCCCGGGGCUCAGCCCCGGAAGUGCCGUUGAUACUGCAUGGCUGGAAUGCGGUCGAGGCGGGCGGAACGUGGCGGGGAGCGGGGGAAUGCGCAGAUAUGCCACAGAACGCCGAUAGCGGAGGCAGCUCGCCAGGCCUGCAUGGACGCGCGGGCACGAAAGCGUGGGGAUCGAACAGGAUUAGAUACCCUGGUAGUCCACGCCGUAAACGAUGGGCGCUCGUCGUCGGCGGCAGACAGUCGGCGGCCAAGCGAAAGCGAUAAGCGCCCCACCUGGGGAGUACGGUCGCAAGGCUGAAACUCAAAUGAAUUGACGGGG
rnacentral:rRNA from 1 species